UUCUGCUCAAGGCAGAGGUCUUCCCUUAUCCAGAGAUUGGAAAUGAAGAACUGCAGGAGCUCAAGCAGCUUGUUGCACCGGUGGAAAAAUUCUUCAGUGAAGAAGUUGACUCAGCAAAGAUUGACAGAGAAGCCAAAAUCCCUCCAGAGACUUUGAAUGGGCUGAAGGAGCUUGGGCUGUUUGGAAUCAUGAUUCCUGAGGAGUAUGGCGGUCUCGGAUUGUCCAACACCAUGUAUGCGCGACUGGCAGAGAUCAUCUCAUUAGAUGGCUCUAUCGCAGUAACACUGGCAACACAUCAAGCUCUUGCACUGAAGGGGAUUCUGAUAGCGGGAAGUGAAGCCCAGAAGCAGAAGUAUCUGCCCAAACUGGCCUCUGGAGAACACAUAGCAGCUUUCUGUCUGACGGAGCC